ACUCAGUGAAAUUGAACUCGCUGUGAAGAUGCAGUGUACCCGCGGCAAGACGGAAAGACCCCGUGAACCUUUACUAUAGCUUGACACUGAACAUUGAGCCUUGAUGUGUAGGAUAGGUGGGAGGCUUAGAAGUGUGGACGCCAGUCUGCAUGGAGCCGACCUUGAAAUACCACCCUUUAAUGUUUGAUGUUCUAACGUUGACCCGU
rnacentral:rRNA from 1 species